rnacentral:misc_RNA from 1 species
AAGAAUAUGUCAAGAGUUGGGAUGUACGGUUUGCUGAAACAGAGGUUUGGAAUCAUCUAAAUUCCUUUAAAGAAAGUGAAAAUAGAAACAUUCCGUUUGAGCUGUAUAAAAGGCGCACGACUCUCAUUGUAAAGAGAGCGACCUUCUUAGAUGUUGUAUGCAAAGCCCUGGCAGAAUACAAGUACGUGAGUCCCAACCAGAGGGCUGACUUGCUUUUAGCGUGCA